AUUGAACGCUGGCGGCAGGCCUAACACAUGCAAGUCGAGCGAGCGGCGGACGGGUGAGUAAUGUCUGGGAAAAUGCCUGAUGGAGGGGGAAAAAUACUGGAAACGGUAGCUAAUACCGCAUACCAUCAGAUGUGCCCAGAUGGGAUUAGCUAGUAGGUGGGGGAAAGGCUCACCUAGGCGACGCUCCCUCGCUGGUCUGAGAGGAUGACCCGCCCCACUGGAACUGAGACACGGUCCAGACUCCUACGGUAGGCAGCAGUGGGGAAUAUUGCACAAUGGGCGCAAGCCUGAUGCAGCCAUGCCGCGUGUGUGAAGAAGGCCUUCGGGUUGUAAAGCACUUUCAGCGGGGAGGCGUUACCCGCAGAAGAAGCACCGGCUAACUCCGUGCCAGCAGCCGCGGUAAUUC
rnacentral:rRNA from 1 species